GGGUUGUGAGGUUAAGCGACUAAGCGUACACGGUGGAUGCCCUGGCAGUCAGAGGCGAUGAAGGGCGUGCUAAUCUGCGAUAAGCGCCGGUAAGGUGAUAUGAACCGUUAUAACCGGCGAUACCCGAAUGGGGAAACCCAGUGUGAUUCGUCACACUAUCAUUAACUGAAUCCAUAGGUUAAUGAGGCGAACCGGGGGAACUGAAACAUCUAAGUACCCCGAGGAAAAGAAAUCAACCGAGAUUCCCCCAGUAGCGGCGAGCGAACGGGGAGGAGCCCAGAGCCUGAAUCAGCAUGUGUGUUAGUGGAAGCGUCUGGAAAGGCGCGCGAUACAGGGUGACAGCCCCGUACACAAAAGCGCAUGUGUUGUGAGCUCGAUGAGUAGGGCGGGACACGUGGUAUCCUGUCUGAAUAUGGGGGGACCAUCCUCCAAGGCUAAAUACUCCUGACUGACCGAUAGUGAACCAGUACCGUGAGGGAAAGGCGAAAAGAACCCCGGCGAGGGGAGUGAAAAAGAACCUGAAACCGUGUACGUACAAGCAGUGGGAGCACCCUGUGUGACUGCGUACCUUUUGUAUAAUGGGUCAGCGACUUAUAUUCUGUAGCAAGGUUAACCGUAUAGGGGAGCCGGAGGGAAACCGAGUCUUAACCGGGCGUUAAGUUGCAGGGUAUAGACCCGAAACCCGGUGAUCUAGCCAUGGGCAGGUUGAAGGUUGGGUAACACUAACUGGAGGACCGAACCGACUAAUGUUGAAAAAUUAGCGGAUGACCUGUGGCUGGGGGUGAAAGGCCAAUCAAACCGGGAGAUAGCUGGUUCUCCCCGAAAGCUAUUUAGGUAGCGCCUCGUGAAUUCAUCUCCGGGGGUAGAGCACUGUUUCGGCUAGGGGGCCAUCCCGGCUUACCAACCCGAUGCAAACUGCGAAUACCGGAGAAUGUUAUCACGGGAGACACACGGCGGGUGCUAACGUCCGUCGUGAAGAGGGAAACAACCCAGACCGCCAGCUAAGGUCCCAAAGUCAUGGUUAAGUGGGAAACGAUGUGGGAAGGCCCAGACAGCCAGGAUGUUGGCUUAGAAGCAGCCAUCAUUUAAAGAAAGCGUAAUAGCUCACUGGUCGAGUCGGCCUGCGCGGAAGAUGUAACGGGGCUAAACCAUGCACCGAAGCUGCGGCAGCGAACGUAUCACUUAAAGCGAUUCAGCGGGUUACGAUUGACGGAGCGAAGCGACGUCAAAGCGUAUACAAAGUCGAGUCGGUUUAAGGAUACGUUCGUUGGGUAGGGGAGCGUUCUGUAAGCCUGUGAAGGUGUGUCGUGAGGCAUGCUGGAGGUAUCAGAAGUGCGAAUGCUGACAUAAGUAACGAUAAAGCGGGUGAAAAGCCCGCUCGCCGGAAGACCAA
rnacentral:rRNA from 1 species